GGAUCGGUAGCUUAGUUGGUAAAAGCGCUUGUCUAGUGAAUAAGGGUCGUGAGUUCAAAUCUCACCUGAGCUG